rnacentral:lncRNA from 1 species
AGAGAAGCAGAACUGGCCAGUACUGCCAUUUAUCAGGUUUUGUGUGUCAGUAAUUCAGAAGUAACUUAGCUGGGUGAUUCCGACUUGGUGUUUCUCAUGAAGGUGCAGUCAUCUGAAGACUUGACUGGGGCUGAAGGAUCCAUUUCCAAGAUGGCUCACUUAUGUGCCUGGCAAGUAGGUAUUGGCUGUUGGCAGGAGGCCUCAGUUCCUCCCCAUAUGGGCAUCUCUAUAAGCUGUUUGAGUGUCCUCAUAACAUGGCAGCUGGCUUCCCCUAGAAUGGGCAAUGUAAGAGAGAGCAAGGUGGAAGUCACAAUGCUUUUAACACUCAGUCUCAGAAAGCACACCCCAUCAUUUCUGCAAUAUCCCUUAGUAACACAGGUCUGCCCUAUGCAUUGUAGGAGGAGAUUACACAAAAGCACAAAUAUUGACAGGUAAAGAUCAUUGAGGUCCAUCCUGAAGGCUGGCUAUGCUAGUCUACACUAGUCUACACUCUGGCUCCCAAAGGUUCAUGUCCUUCACAAAUGCAAAUCUGUUCAACCCUCCCAAGGGACUCAAAAGUCUCAUCCCAUUACAAAAUCAGCUUGAAGUCCAGAAUCUUGUCAUCUAAAACAGGCCUCCAGGUGAGGUUCUUCUGGACUAAUUCCUAUGUACAGCUCCUUGAGUAGCUCUUCUUGAUCUGAAGACCUAUGAACUAAAAAGAGAACUCAUAUUCCCUGUCCUACUCCUCCAUCACCAACAUACAAUGAUGAGAUGUGGGAAAAGCAUAGGAUUACCUCUACAAAUAUUUCUAUUCACAAAAAGAGAGAGGUCUGCCGGGCAUGAUGGC